rnacentral:rRNA from 1 species
UGCGCCCUACGGGACGCAGCAGUCGGGAAUAUUGCGCAAUGGAGGAAACUCUGACGCAGUGACGCCGCGUAUAGGAAGAAGGUUUUCGGAUUGUAAACUAUUGUCGUUAGGGAAGAAAAAAAGACAGUACCUAAGGAGGAAGCUCCGGCUAACUACGUGCCAGCAGCCGCGGUAGUACGUAGGGAGCGAGCGUUAUCCGGAUUUAUUGGGUGUAAAGGGUGCGUAGACGGGUAUACAAGUUGGUUGUGAAAUCCCUCGGCUUAACUGAGGAACUGCAACCAAAACUGUAUAUCUUGAGUACAGGG